rnacentral:ncRNA from 1 species
CAAUUCCUUCAGGGCAGGGUGAAAUUCCCGACCGGCGGUGAUGGUGCAAUCAGCACGUCAAGCCCGCGAGCCUCCCGAGCUGUUGACAGCGACGGAGUGCAGGAUCUGGUGAGAUUCCAGAGCCGACAGUACAGUCUGGAUGGGAGAAGGAUGAC